UUGGACUAAUUUAAGGGGAUAAUUAUGCAAAGUGUUGGCUCAUAAGGUUAUUUACAACUUAAAUGACCCGACUUUAAGUUAAUUAUUCGAAAUAACCUAUUUUAGGCAAUUUGUAUAUAUCAGUAUUGCAGUGAUGUUUGAUGUUUGCUAAAGUUCAUUAAGAGUUGGAGCUUCUCAUCGGAAUAACGACUGAGACGAAGCGGGAUUUUUUUGUUGGAGAAAUUGGUUGUGAAUGGUUGUGUGGUGAUGGAUGCAAAGAAGAUGUUUGGUGAAACGCCUCAAAGAGAUGUGAUUCGCUGAAAUUUGCUGGUUAAGGCAUAUAUCCAUCAAUGUUAACUCACAACUUUCAAGGACUUCAUUCCCUUUAGUUGUGUUUGUCUGGAGAGCUUGUGUUAAAGAUGAAGCACGUGAUAUAAAUAAAGAGGUAAAGCACUAGUCAAAUUUGAAAAUCUGCUAUAAACAGACAAACAUAUUCGUUUAAGUAAACAGACAUCUAUUUUAUCAAGCAGAUAAAGCAUCUAACGAUGCUGCUAAACUAUCAAUUUGAAGUUAUUCUCAUCAUGCAGAAUUUUAUGACACAUUUAGAGGUUACUAUAGUUAAAACUGUUGUACCCCAGUUGGAGAGAAAAUUCAACCGUCGUUGCUGCUUACAUAUGAAGUACUUGAACGAAUAGUUGCAACAACGAUACAAAAAAUGUUAAGCUCUUGGUCCAAGGUAGGCUCUAAAUUAUUAUUUUUCGUCAAAGAAAAAAGUCCUGGUGCGUUCAAAAUGUGAUUCGUUGUGUAUAUGAUUAAGAAUAUUGCAUAUUUAUGUGUUUCUAGAAAUCAAAGAGAAUAUAUGCUUUGUAUGUUAUAAAUUUUAGCUAAGUUACUACCAUUGACAUGGCUAUGCUCAAAGUGACAAUGUGGAAUGAGACUUGGAUUAUUUAGACAAAUAGAUGAGAGAACUAUAGUUUCUUGAAAUUUGAUCAUUUCCUUAUUAGCGCAAAAUGGGAGGGAGAAGGCAGCUUUAGCACUUUUUCAUGAAAUGAGGAAUAGUGAGUUUGAUCUUGAUGAAGCUAUUGUUGUUACUGUGUUACCUGACGAUGUAAAGCUCGAUACAUCAUAUAAUUAUUUAUAUAAUAUUGAGAAGUGUUUAUACAUAUUUAUACAA